rnacentral:misc_RNA from 1 species
GAUGAAGAACGUAGCGAAAUGCGAUACGUAAUGUGAAUUGCAAAUUCAGUGAAUCAUCGAGUCUUUGAACGCACAUUGCGCCCCCUGGUAUUCCGGGGGGCAUGCCUGUCCGAGCGUCAUUGCUGCCCUCAAGCACGGCUUGUGUGUUGGGCCCCGUCCUCCGAUCCCGGGGGACGGGCCCGAAAGGCAGUGGCGGCACCGCGUCCGGUCCUCGAGCGUAUGGGGCUUUGUCACCCGCUCUGUAGGCCCGGCCGGCGCUUGCCGAUCAACCCAAAUUUUUAUCCAGGUUGACCUCGGAUCAGGUAGGGAUACCCGCUGAACUUAAGCAUAUCAAUAAGCGGAGGA